rnacentral:rRNA from 1 species
AUUGAACGCUGGCGGCAGGCCUAACACAUGCAAGUCGAACGGUAACAGGAAGCAGCUUGCUGCUUCGCUGACGAGUGGCGGACGGGUGAGUAAUGUCUGGGAAACUGCCUGAUGGAGGGGGAUAACUACUGGAAACGGUAGCUAAUACCGCAUAACGUCGCAAGACCAAAGAGGGGGACCUUAGGGCCUCUUGCCAUCGGAUGUGCCCAGAUGGGAUUAGCUAGUAGGUGGGGUAACGGCUCACCUAGGCGACGAUCCCUAGCUGGUCUGAGAGGAUGACCAGCCACACUGGAACUGAGACACGGUCCAGACUCCUACGGGAGGCAGCAGGGGGGAAUAUUGCACAAUGGGCGCAAGCCUGAUGCAGCCAUGCCGCGUGUAUGAAGAAGGCCUUCGGGUUGUAAAGUACUUUCAGCGGGGAGGAAGGGAGUAAAGUUAAUACCUUUGCUCAUUGACGUUACCCGCAGAAGAAGCACCGGCUAACUCCGU